UACGUAGGGUCCAAGCGUUGUCCGGAAUUAUUGGGCGUAAAGAGCUCGUAGGCGGUGUGUCGCGUCGGAUGUGAAAUCCCGGGGCUUAACUCCGGGUCUGCAUUCGGUACGGGCAUACUGGAGUUCGGUAGGGGAGACUGGAAUUCCUGGUGUAGCGGCGAAAUGCGCAGAUAUCAGGAGGAACACCGGUGGCGAAGGCGGGUCUCUGGGCCGAUACUGACGCUGAGGAGCGAAAGCGUGGGGAGCGAACAGG
rnacentral:rRNA from 1 species